AAUUAAUGGGCUGAGAGGGGUGUGCACUGUCAGAGGCAGCAGUACACCAGUGAAAUGAGGAGCACUAUCUCCCUACCAGCACAUUUCCACUGAGUGAGAGAGAGAGAAUAAGGGAAGGAGAAAUAAGGCGAAAGAUUGACAAAAAGAGCGUGAUCAUUUGUGUACAGCUGCAACCUCAACACCAGCUUUGUCAUCACUGUGAACCUCAGUAAAGACAGCCCAACCAUGGAUCAGAAAAUCAAUGAAUGCCCCACCACCACCUCCCCCCAGAAACAGAUGAAGAGUAGGUCCAAAUCCACCGAUGAGAUCCAGCACACCAAGAGGCUUUCAUCACAGAAAUCCCUUCCCGGUGGGUCUGACCUGGACAAAGUCAAGGAAGGCCCAGAAGGUUCUGAGACUCCCUCGUCCUCCACAGAGGAGCUGAAGUGAUGACGGCUGGGGUCCCUAAGGGAAAUAAGGCCAUGAACCUUCCAUCUGCUCAUUAAACAUGAACACAUACUGUACACACACAUAGACUCACAUACACACACACACACACACACACAGUCACAUCCCUACACACACUGAAAAAUGCAAACACUGAAUUGAUAAACUGAGUUGGUGGAAAGUCAUGUGAUAGACAUUAAUUCUGAAUGGUUAAGUUAAGGGUUAGGAUUUGGGAUAGGUUUAAAACAAAACAUUUAAAAUGUGUUUCUACCACUGGGAGAUAACAUGUAGCAUUCGGAUUCAGGGUCAUGGUAUUAUGUCCAUUAUGUCUCAUGGGAUUAUGUCCACACCGCUGUAGCAAAACCCAAGCCUACUUGUUAGUAAUAGUGCUCAUUUUGAAGUCAAUCUGCAGCGAUCUGCCUACACACACACACACACACACACACAAUGACAACAAGAACACAAGAAAUGGGCACAUGUGGUGAUCCUGUAUCAUUGUACUGUGAGUUAUCUGUACAUACCAAACUGAAUGUGCAUUCUUCACAAUAAAGCAGUGCUGUUGAGUGGA